UUGGAGGGCAAGUCUGGUGCCAGCAGCCGCGGUAAUUCCAGCUCCAAUAGCGUAUAUUAAAGUUGUUGCAGUUAAAAAGCUCGUAGUUGAAUUUCGGGGUUCUUCCGUUGGUCAGGCUAACCAGUCUGUACUAGCGUGUAGAAUCUCUACCUUCUGGGGAACCAUCAUGUUAUUAAUUUAGCGUGGUGGGAAACCAGGACCUUUACCUUGAAAAAAUUAGAGUGUUCAAAGCAGGCUUACGUCUGAAUACAUUAGCAUGGAAUAAUAAAAUAGGACGGUGGUCCUGUUUUGUUGGCUUCUGAAUCACCGUAAUGAUUAAUAGGGAUAGUUGGGGGCAUUAGUAUUCAAUUGUCAGAGGUGAAAUUCUUGGAUUUAUUGAAGACUAACUUCUGCGAAAGCAUUUGCCAAGGAUGUUUUCAUUAAUCAAGAACGAAAGUUAGGGGAUCGAAGACGAUCAGAUACCGUCGUAGUCUUAACCAUAAACUAUGCCGACUAGGGAUCGGACGAUGUUAAAUUUUAUUGACUCGUUCGGCGCCUUACGGGAAAC
rnacentral:rRNA from 1 species